CUUGGUGAUUGGAGCGACAGUGGUACACCCGGUCCCAUCUCGAACCCGGUCGUUAAGCCUGUCAGCGCCUAUGGUACUUGGAGGGCAACCUCCCGGGAGAGUCGGUCAUCGCCAAGA
rnacentral:rRNA from 1 species